rnacentral:rRNA from 1 species
GAUGAACGCUGGCGGCGUGCCUAAUACAUGCAAGUCGAACGCAUAGCGAAAGGUGCUUGCACCUUUCAAGUGAGUGGCGAACGGGUGAGUAACACGUGGACAACCUGCCUCAAGGCUGGGGAUAACAUUUGGAAACAGAUGCUAAUACCGAAUAAAACUUAGUGUCGCAUGACACAAAGUUAAAAGGCGCUUCGGCGUCACCUAGAGAUGGAUCCGCGGUGCAUUAGUUAGUUGGUGGGGUAAAGGCCUACCAAGACAAUGAUGCAUAGCCGAGUUGAGAGACUGAUCGGCCACAUUGGGACUGAGACACGGCCCAAACUCCUACGGGAGGCUGCAGUAGGGAAUCUUCCACAAUGGGCGAAGGCCUGAUGGAGCAACGCCGCGUGUGUGAUGAAGGCGUUCGGGUCGUAAAGCACUGUUGUAUGGGAAGAACAGCUAGAAUAGGAAAUGAUUUUAGUUUGACGGUACCAUACCAGAAAGGGGCGGCUAAAUACGUG